AAAGCGGUACGUGAGCUGGGUUUAGAACGUCGUGAGACAGUUCGGUCCCUAUCUGUCGUGGGCGUAGGAUAUUUGAGGGGAGCUGCUCUUAGUACGAGAGGACCAGAGUGGACGAACCGCUAGUGUACCAGUUGUUACGCCAGUAGCAUGGCUGGGUAGCUAUGUUCGGAAGGGAUAAGCGCUGAAAGCAUCUAAGUGCGAAGCCCACCCCAAGAUUAGAUAUCCCUCCCUGGGGGUAACUCCAGGGCUAAAGGCUCCUUGAAGAUUACAAGGUCGAUAGGCCACAGGUGUACGCACAGCAAUGUGUUUAGCCGAGUGGUACUAAUAAGCCGUGAGACUUAAGAUG
rnacentral:rRNA from 1 species